rnacentral:SRP_RNA from 1 species
GCUGGGCGUGGUGGCUUACGCCUGUAAUCUCAGCACUUUGGGAGGCUGAGGCAGGUGGAUCACCUGAGGUCAGGAGUUCGAGACCAGCCUGGCCAACAUGGUGAAACCCUGUCUCUA